CUUGAAAAAAAAACGAAAAAAGGAAAACCUUAUAUUUGUUACCGCUUUUAUAUAUAUAAAAAAAAACGCACACACUAAGUGACAAGAACGGUAAAUAUGGCAGGCCAAAGUGAACUGUUCGUGUAAGCCUUUGAAAAACAUCACAGCAAAUUAAAUUCGGGGUUUUUCUUCUUAUUCCUUAUGUGGACUGUCAGAGUUUACCAGUUGGAAAUCCGAAUCCUCUAGGGUGUUAAAAUGAUGAGUAGGUACUUAAUAUGGAAUUCAACGUAUGACUUCAUACACAUUACGAUUACCUAUUUUCUAGCUUAUGUCAGCAUAGUAAAUGGUAAUCUUUUUCUCGCAUGUAGGUGAGUUCAAAUUCGAUUUUCGUCGCGAGAGAAAGAAAACAUGACGAUUCGUGAGUCAAUGGUUUAUUUUUAUCUCAUUAUUUGAAAAACAAUGAUUGCAUCAACAUCAUCUUAGAAACUUAUAAAUCGAACUAAAAUUUAAUUUACUAAAAACACAACUUCCACACCCUGAAACUAAAGUUUCUGACGUUAUUUUUUAGAUUUUUAGCGAAAUUUGAAAACUCCAGAAAUCAAAAAAUGGUUUUGGUUUUUGAUGUAAGUACCUAUACUAAUUACCUACUACAAGGGAGGGAUCCCAACUGGCAGAAAAAAUUUGAAAUGGUUAUGUUUAAUCGAAAGAGUCAGUCAAAAUUUGAGAUAUAAAGUGAAUUUCAAUUAUUGACGAAUUUUUGAAAAUCAAAGAGUCAAAAAUGCGAAUAAAUAAUCAAAAUUUCAUCACAAUAUAUUGGCUUGGAAAGCUAAAAUUUGUUCCGAACGUACUAGAAUGAGUCAUCAUUGACCUUUUUUUUUUUUGGAAAAUCGGGGCGAGAAUUCGGUAAAAAGUUGUCGGGCAACCUCGACAGACUGCAAGAAAAAUUUAGGAUCCCUGACAUGAAUUCUGUGGAUAGUACCUACAUAAUCCAAUUUUCAAACAUAUCUAUACACCUACUGGAGGCUCUAGAAUAACUCAAAAUCAGCUUUCCGGGUCAAUCUUAUAGAAUUCUGAUUUUUUUGCAUUCUUGGCCUUUUGAUUUUUAAAAAUUCACCAAAAAUGUAAAAAAACGAACUUCAUGUACCUGAAAUUUUUGCUGGUGAUACACGUAUUUUUGCAUGUUCUUUAUUGUGUGACUCGAAAAAAUUUCAGUUGGUUGGAGUAUUUCAUUUAUUGUUGAAUACCUGCUCGAUAAGUUAAUUAAGAAAAUCGGAUAUUCUGCAAAUGAAUUGAACAUUUAUGAUUAUGUUAUACUUCAAAAGUUCAGAAAUAGCACGAGAAAACAAUUUUAGUUUUAGUCCAAGUUCAAAGUUUCCACUAAAUUUGUUUUCCAGACGUGUAUUAAACUGUAACCCACGAAUUUCAUACACCAAAGUACUGCCUACAAUAUUGAAAGUUGGGUAUAUAUUUUCCCCCUGAAAUAUACAACUUUUAAAACUGUAUGCAUUUUAUGAAGCUGUAGAAUCAGAGAAAUUUCCUCCAAAUGAUACCAGUUACAAAAUGUAGACGAUCAAUUUUUACAACAGCUCAUGUCUAAAAAAAACCUCAAACUUGAAACCUGAUAAAUUACUUGAUUAAAAUAAAAACGUUUACUUAUAGCCUAAUAAUCUCGUCCUAAAUUGGCAACGGAAGCAAUUAAAUAAGGUAACAUUAAUUAAUUGUGGCGCUGUGUUGUAUGAUUUAAUAAUUUUUUAAUAUUCGUCAUUACACCAUUCUGUCAGUAAAUUGUAAAUUGCCAAUUAAAAUGUAAUUUCGGUACCGUGUUAAA